rnacentral:rRNA from 1 species
ACUCCUACGGGAGGCAGCAGCGGGGAAUAUUGGACAAUGGGCGCAAGCUGAUCCAGCCAUGCCGCGUGUGUGAAGAAGGUCUUCGGAUUGUAAAGCACUUUAAGUUGGGAGGAAGGGCUGUUACCUAAUACGUGACAGUUUUGACGUUACCAACAGAAUAAGCACCGGCUAACUUCGUGCCAGCAGCCGCGGUAAU